AAGGCCCUUCGGGGUACACGAGCGGCGAACGGGUGAGUAACACGUGGGUGAUCUGCCUCGCACUCUGGGAUAAGCCUGGGAAACUGGGUCUAAUACCGGAUAUGACCUUACAUCGCAUGGUGUUUGGUGGAAAGAUUUAUCGGUGCGAGAUGGGCCCGCGGCCUAUCAGCUUGUUGGUGGGGUAAUGGCCUACCAAGGCGACGACGGGUAGCCGGCCUGAGAGGGCGACCGGCCACACUGGGACUGAGACACGGCCCAGACUCCUACGGGAGGCAGCAGUGGGGAAUAUUGCACAAUGGGCGAAAGCCUGAUGCAGCGACGCCGCGUGAGGGAUGACGGCCUUCGGGUUGUAAACCUCUUUCGACAGGGACGAAGCGCAAGUGACGGUACCUGUAGAAGAAGCACCGGCCAACUACGUGCCAGCAGCCGCGGUAAUACGUAGGGUGCGAGCGUUGUCCGGAAUUACUGGGCGUAAAGAGCUUGUAGGCGGCUUGUCGCGUCGAUCGUGAAAACUUGGGGCUCAACCCCAAGCUUGCGGUCGAUACGGGCAGGCUUGAGUACUUCAAGGGAGACUGGAAUUCCUGGUGUAGCGGUGAAAUGCGCAGAUAUCAGGAGGAACACCGGUGGCGAAGGCGGGUCUCUGGGAAGUAACUGACGCUGAGAAGCGAAAGCGUGGGUAGCGAACAGGAUUAGAUACCCUGGUAGUCCACGCCGUAAACGGUGGGUACUAGUGUGGGUUUCCUUCCACGGGAUCCGUGCCGUAGCUAACGCAUUAAGUACCCCGCCUGGGGAGUACGGCCGCAAGGCUAAAACUCAAAGAAAUUGACGGGGGCCCGCCACAA
rnacentral:rRNA from 1 species